GACCUUCAAGCCCUAGCUGCUUGGUGUUGGGAGCCUAUCUCCGGAUAGCUCCUCAAAAGCAUUGGCGGAGUCGCGGUGACCCCAAGCGUAGUAAUUCUUCUCGCUUUAGGUGUGUCACGGCUGACGUCUUGCCGUUAAACCCCCAAUUUUUUAAAUGGUUGACCUCGGAUC
rnacentral:rRNA from 1 species